rnacentral:lncRNA from 1 species
AUAGUGAGCAUCCUUCAGCCCUACGAUAGCUCUGACAACUUGCCCUUAUCAUGUGGGGGUGCAUUUUCCGCCGAAGCUCAUAUCCAUGCAAAUGGAGAUGGAUCUCUAAACCUGACAGCACAAAUCAUGUGGAGCGGUUGCAAGUAGCCUGACUCUCUUUGCAUCAUAUAUUGCUCCAUGCUUAUCUCUAUCAGUUUGUGCUGUGUGACCCACGGAGGCUGUCUACUUCUUUAUAUUAAUAAUACUAUUAAAUAAAUUUGACAGCCACCCCAUAAUAUACUACUGGAUUCCUACUUCUUCUACCUUACCUAUUCAACAUUGUGUGCCUUGUUUCUCCUUUUUCUUUUCUUUUCUGUAAUAGUAUAUACACACACGAUUGUGUGAAUUAAUAAAAAAUGUCUAUGUCUGUGUCUAUAUCUAUAUCUUUAUAAAAGUCUCAACUACAUUAAAAAGUGUUGGGUGCAAUACUAAGGCAUAUUGCAUAUUGCAAGUUUAUCUCUAUAUUUCACUCAAAUUUGAAAUUGAAUCUCUAUAGUUUAAUUCUAACAUAAGUUGGCACCUGAAUUCUUAUAAUGUCUUUCGUUAGUCUAAAUAUGUUAUUCUAAUUGAAACGCUCAUGGGAAUUUAAAAGGAUUAUUAACACCAUCAAAAUUCUCUAUUAAAUUAAUUCUAGUCAAUUACAAUGUAAUUUUCUUUUGCUCCUUGGAUACCAAGUAUAAGUAUAUUUUUUUAAUUUGAAAAUGGCAUGCCAACAAAUUUAACAAAAGAAUUAUAACAACGCUAACAAAUGGACCUAAAUUCAAGAUGUGGAGUUCUCUAUUGAUGUGACUUCGAGGAUCCCUCCUAUAACAGGUGUGCUAUAUAGAAUCACUCCAGCAGACAUGAAGGAGUUGAAAGUUCAGCUACAAGAACUGUUAGAUAAUGGGUUCAUCAGAUCAAGUGUUUCGCCUUGGGGUGCACCAAUAUUGUUUGUUACGAAGAAGGAUGAGACCCUCCGAUUAUGUAUUGAUUAUAGGUAGCAGAAAAAGUGACCAUAUUAAGUUGCCCAGGAUUGAGAACUUUUUUGAUCAGCUGACUGGAGCUAGAGUUUUCUCAAAGAUUGAUCUAUGAGCUAGGUAUUAUCAAGUUGAAACUUCCAAAUAUAAAACAACGUAAGAUGUUAAUAAUAUCCUCUUAACAAUAAUAAGAUGACUUGUAAUAUUAAGACGAAGACCGGUAAUAAUAUCUUAACAAUUUAAACUAUUUUAUUUGGAAACCUAACUAAGGAUCAUUCCCUUGCAUGUCCCAACUUGGUGGGUAACAAGUCUUUUAAAAGAAUAGCAGGGGUAUGGGGUGAUUUAAUUGCACUGGGCAAGAACCCCAACAAGGCGAGUUGUUUUGCUAGUAUGCCAAAGCUGGUCAGCAUCAUGAAACCAAAAAAGGUUGACGAUCUGAUUUUUCUAGAGGUGGGGAGUUCUAGGUUUCCCAUUAGAGUGGUAGAACAGGGGUUGUCUGAAGUUGAAUAUGCGAGCCAGUCCUUGACGGGUAACAGUGGCGGCGACGGGAAGAAUAUUGAGUAGGGUAGGGCUGAUUUCGUCAUGUCAGAAUUCGAAUCGGUGCUAGGCCUUAGGUCGGAUUGGUUGAAAUAUAGUCAUAGAAUGUGAUUCAAUUACUGGUUCGGAUUGGUUGAAAUAUAGCCAUCUUCAGUCGUGGUCGUUUAGGAAUUUGUUCGCGAAUAUUGAAGGAAGUUUAAGGCGAAUGGUUGAGGUUUAGAUUGAAGUCACAAAUCGAGGUAAGAAUGGAAUGGUGGAAGCCUUGGCUAAAGCAGGUUUGUCAAGGAAUACCUUGUUUAGAGCAUAUUGGUAAUCCAUUUUAGGGUUUGCUGCUUUUAUGGUUUUUUGUGCUCUGUUUUGGCAUAGUUUUGCAGCUUUUGGUUCCUUGUUCGAACUGGUAUGGGCUGGGUGAUCCCAACAUCUCUUCCUGUAAUCAAUUGACUGAGGAAAAAAAAAGAUGGUCAACAGUCAAUGUCGUAACCAUUCUUUUGAAAAAACGGGUAUCGACUUGGAGAAAAAAACGAAAACAGGAGUCGCCACCAAUCUUUUUAGGUGUGAUCGGAUCACCUUAAGUUAAUCAUUUUAAUAAAAGUUAAGAUUUACUAAAACGAUAAUUUUUGGUCUACGAAAAUCAGAAAAUGAGUUCGGGAGUCGGUUACGCACGAGGAAGGAUUAGCACCCUCGAUACGCCCAAAAUUGGUACCUAGUUGAUUAAUUAGUGUCUUAGUGUCAAAAAUUUGAAAACUUGAAAGAAUUUAAAAUACGAUCCCUCUUUGUAAAGAAAAUGCUCAAAUGUUAAGGACCUUCUCGUCUCACAAUAUAAAAUGUCACAUCCCGUAAGUUAGGACACGACAUCUUGAAUUUUCGAGAGCGAGCUUGCCUUUUAUAUAAAAAUUCGUGUAUUUCAAAAGGUUAUUCAGUUAGUUAAGGUGAACGAGGAAAAUCGAAACCCAGUAAGUUAGGGCACGCUUCCUCGAAUUCCCAAACACCGAAUAUUGCCUUUACUUACAAAAAUCUUAUUUCGAGGUAACAAAAUGCCAUACCCAGUAAGUUAGGGCACAACACCUCGUAUCUCCGAGAAUAAGCAUUUUUCAAUACUCAUGUCGCGAUUUAAAAGAGUAUUCCGUUAUUUAGGUUAAAGGAGAAAAAUCGAAACCCAGUAAGUUAGGGCACGAUUGUCUCGAAUUACCAAAUACGGAAUGUUACUUUUAUGAAAGAAUUAUUAUUAGGUUGGACAUAAUGAUAAUAAGAAUAAUAUUAAAGUAAAGUAAAUAAUAAUACUAUAUAUAAAAAUAUAUAUAUGUAUAAUAGAAAUACACACUACUAUAUAAUAAUAAUAAUAAAUAUAGAAAUACAAAAAGAAAAUAUAAUAAAAAUAUUAAAUUAAAGUAAUAAAAAAACAAUACUAUAUAUAAAUAUAUAUAUACAUAAAAAUAUACACUAUUAUAUAAUAAUAAUAGUAAUAGCAAAAAUAAUGAAAAUAUGAGUAAUAUUAAUAAUAUAUUAGAAUACAAAAGUAAAGUAAUAACAAUAGGGGUGAUAAUAAUAAUAAUAAUAAUACAAACAAUAAUACAUAUAUAUAUAAAAAUAGUAGUCAGAAAUAAAAAAUAAUAGAAGUAACAAUAAUGAUAGUAAUAAUAUAAAUAAAUAUGGAGAGGGCAUAUAUAAUAUAAUAAUAUAAAUAAUAAUAUACACUUGAGAAAUAAUAAUAUAAAUAAUAGUAAAAAUAAAAAAAUAAAACAAAGCUCUCAACUCUCUUUCUCCCUCUUUUCUAAAUCCGUCCGUUGGUCCGGCUUUGCUUCGGUCAUGGACCCCCACGGGCGGCCAUCGGCGCCACCGUACACGGCGGCCGAUCCUCAAAAAAAAACUUUUUCGGUAAUGAAAAUAUGGGUAAGCUUCUUACUUUUAUUUUUACUUUCGUAUAAAAAAAACAAAAUAAAAUUGAAAGGAAAACAAUAAACAAAUAAAGAACUUAAGAUGAGAAUAGAUAAAAGAAACCUCUUUUGCUUUGAUCUUUGAUUAAUCUCCAAAAACUAGCCUUUCCAAAAAACAAAAAACAACCCCCGUCUAACAUAGUCUUGAAUGGCUUUUAUAGCCAAAUUUUUACAAAUAAAUUUUUUGUAAGCAAGUGGAGUGGUUGGGGUGGUUUAGGUGGCCAAGGUGGGUGGCCAACAAGGGUGGUGGAGUAGGUGGCCAAGGUGGGUGGCCAACAAGGGUGGUGAAGUAGGUGGGAUUAGGGUUUUCUUUUUCUGAUUUUUUUUUUGUUGGGUUAGUGUUUUGGGCUAAGUUUUGGGCUAAGGGUUUUGGGUUUGUAUUGGGUUUUAAUUGGGUAGUUGGGUUAUGUUUAUUUGGGCCCAAAAUUGGGCUUGUACAGCUGCCUCUCUUUGCUUGUUGUCGUGUAACGAGAACAGAGCAAAGACUUAAGAAAGACCAAUUUUGCUCGGUUUCACUAUGUCUGGACUUGUUUAGCGCUCCAUUUCUCCAGGUAGCUUUCUUCCAAUCUUGUUGCUUCGCUUCGCUUCACUGCUCUACUACAACUUCAAGAAGGUAAGGUUUGUUUUGAUCUUCUCCACUGCAACUCCAUGGAGAUAAGACACGUGACUUCAAUCAAUUCCACUGAAACUUCAAGGAGAUCUGCUGUAGCUUCGAUUAAUCCACUGAAACUUCAAGGAGAUCUGCUGUGGCUUUUAGCUGCUCCAACGCCAUUUCAGGGAGAAGAUUUUUGAUUUUCAACCUGUUACCCUACUGCUUAGGGGGUUAAGGCUUGUCAUCAUUGAUCUGUUUCCCUACUGCUUAGGUUUUUAAGAUCUUGUAAAAUCAGCCUGUUACCCUACUGCUUAGGGGUUUAAGGCUCAUCGCCUUCGAUCUGUUUCCCUACUGCUUAGGGGGUUAAGAUCUAUAAAUUUAGUCUGUUACCCUACUGCUUAGGGUUUUAAGACUCAUCAUCUUCAAUCUGCUUCCCUACUUGCUUAGGGGGUUGAGGUCUGUAAAUUUAGCCUGUUACCCUACUGCUUAGGGGUUUAAGACUCAUCAUCUUCAAUCUGUUUCCCUACUGCUUAGGGGGUUGAGAUCUGUAAAUCUUCAAUCUGCUUCACUGCAAUCUUCAGGAAGACAAGAUUCGCUGAAUUUGAUCUGUUCCACUACAACUUCAGGGAGACAAGAUUUGUAAUUUUUAGCCUAUUACCCUACUACUUAGGGGGUUAAGGUCUGUAAAUUUGGCUUGUUACCCUACUGCUUAGGGGGUUAAAGCUCAUUAUUUUUGAUCUGUUUCCCUACUGCUUAGGGUGAUAAGAUCUAUGAACUUCAACUUGUUACCCUACUGCUUAGGGGGUUAAAGCUCGUUGCCUUUGAUCUAUUCCCCUACUGCUUAUGGGGUAAGAUCUGUGAAUUCACUGAUUCUAGGGACAUGACCUGUAGAAUCAGUUCCAUGUAUUUAUGCUUAUGUCAAAGAACUAGGAUGUUAUGAUCAAAAUGAAUCAAAUGUUCCUAAUUAGAUGCACUUAUGAAUGAUCUAUGAAUGUAUGAGUGCAGCAUGUUGUGAGCGUGAAUCCCUAUUUAGGUUGCCAUUGCUCUUUGUUCAUCAAGGUUCCUUCACUGAAAUGGUACCCUGUCUUCUUGUUCAGCUCAAAUUUUGAACAGAAAACCCGAAGAGGUAGUCCCAAUUUAAACUCUUUCUUCUCAGAUGCUUCCAAUCUUUGAGUUUGGUUAGUUCUAAAAAAAUAGUCCUGUUUCAGGUUCCUUUACUAUUUAGAAACUUUCAGAGUAAUAUGCAGAACUCUUUUUGCGAAAAUGGCUUUAGUCCAUUAAUCAUCAUUUCAAUGCAAAAUGCUUGAAAAAGAUCAUAGUAAUGAUGGAAUUGAAAUUUAUCAGAAACAAAAUUUGAAGGGAAUGGAUUCAUCACGGUCAACAAACAUUGCUGGAAUACAAAAUGAAUAAGAAGGGAAUAGGUGCCCCAGAUAUCGCAACGUGAGCUUCUCUGCACUUGUUUCUUGAAGACUCCUUUUUACCCAAUAUGUGUUUAGGGGAUCUAGAGUACUCUUGUAGAUGCCCCAAAAUGUAACAUCUCUCUUCCUUGUUAAUUUUAGGUAUCAUAAGAGCAUCGCAUGCCCCACUUUCGAUCAAAAUUUGAAUCGCCCUUUACGGGUUUUCAAUUCAAAAUCCCUUUGGUCUCAAUGUGCUCUUUGCGAGUUUUCGCCCUGGCCUCUCCUUUUUUUUUAGGCGAAGUAUUUCUUAACCGAAUCUGAAUUCACAGGAUUGGAUAAGGUCUUGCCAUCCAUUUCAGCCAAUAUCAAUGCUCCGCCAGAAAAGGCUUUCUUCACCACAUAAGGCCCUUCCCAAUUCGGCAUCCAUUUUCCUCUGAAGUCUUUUUGUAUGGGCAGGAUCUUUUUUAGUACUAUGUCUCCCUCGUGGAACUCUCUAGGGACGAACCUUUUUGUUGUAAGCUUGCAUCAUCCGCUUUUGGUACAUCUGACCAUGGCGAAUAGCCCGUAGCCUCUUUUCUUCAAUCAAAUUCAGCUGAUCGUAUCGGGACUGGAUCCAUUCUGCUUCAUCCAUCUUUACUUCUGACAAAACUCUGAGGGAAGGAAUCUCGACCUCGAUAGGUAAAACUGCCUCCAUUCCAUAGACUAAUGAGAAAGGCGUUGCCCCAGUAGAAGUUCUGAUAGACGUUCGAUAAGCAUAGAGGGCGAAUGGUAGCUUCUCAUGCCAAUCUUUAUAAGUUUCUGUCAUCUUUCCUACAAUCUUCUUGAUGUUCUUAUUGGCUGCUUCGACUGCUCCGUUCAUCUUCGGGCGAUACGGUGACGAGUUGUGGUGUCUGAUCUUGAACUGACUGCAGACAUCUGCUAUCGCGUUGUUGUUCAAAUUCAAUGUGUGUCAGAUAUGAUCCUUUCCGGCAUUCCAUAUCAACAGAUGAUUUCCUUUUUCAGGAACUUGCUAACUGCUGAUUUAGUGACAUUGGCAUAUGAAGCGGCCUCCACCCAUUUGGUGAAAUAAUCGAUGACCACAAAGAUGAAACGAUGCCCAUUUGAAGCUUUUGGCGAAAUUGGCCCAAUCACAUCCAUGCCCCACAUCGAGAAAGGUCAUGGCGAAGUCAUGACAUCAGAGGUGAGGGAGGUACAUUAAUCUUGUCUCCAUAGAUUUGGCACUUAUGACAUCUUUUGGCGUAGUUAAUACAGUCUCCUUCCAUAGGUGGACCAAUAAUAACCGAACCUCAUAAUUUGCCUGGUCAUUGUAAAACCAUUAGCAUGUGUCCCGCAGACGCCCUCGUGGACUUCUUCCAAGAUUUUCUUAGCCUCAAUAGCGUCUACACAUCUUAAUAGUACCUGAUCUUUCUUUCUUUUGUAUAGGAUCUCCCCAUCUAAGACAUAGUCACUGGCCAGUCUUCUCAACGUUCUCUUGUCGUUCUCAGUAGCUUGGUUGGGGUACUCACAAUUCUUCACAUAUCGUAGGAUAUCGUGGUACCAAGGGCCAUCAUCAUUUUCCUCUUCUUCUUCGAGGUUGUAACAAUGAGCCGGGGCCUCGUAAAUGCUUAUUUGGAUUGGUUUCACAUCCUUUGGUUGGUUCACCUUAAUCAUAGAAGCUAAAGUUGCUAGGGCGUCAGCUAUCUGAUUUUCUUCUCAUGGGAGGUAGUAGAAGACAAUAUUAUCAAACUUUUUAAUUAACUCAAGGAUCAACCUCCGGUAAUUGAUCAAUUUGGGGUCUCUUGUCUCCUAUUCACAUUUGAGUUGAUAAAUCACUAGGGCAGAAUCUCCAUAUACCUCUAACAUCUUGAUUUUACAUUCUAUGGCCGCACGUAUUCCCAUGAUGCAUGCUUCAUAUUCUGCCAUAUUGUUCGUGCGUCAAAAUCCAAUUUACUAGUGAAGGGAUAAUGAUCUCCGUUCGGGGAUACCAGGACUGCCCCGAUUCCAUUGCCCACGGCAUUCGAUGCUUCGUCAAAGUUUAUCUUCCAAGGAUGACCUUCUUGAGGGUCUUCUUCAGUGGUUGCUACGUACAUUAGAUCUUCAUUUGGGAAGUCAAAGUUUAGAGGCUCGUAGUCCUCUAGGGAUCUGCUGGCUAGGAAAUCUGCUAUCGCACUCCCUUUUACGGCCUUCUGGUUCACAUAGACUAUAUCGAAUUCAGAAAGUAAAAUUUGCCAUCGGGCCAUUCUCCCGUUCAAGGCAGUCGACUCCAUCAAGUACUUCAGAGGGUCCAUUUUAGAGAUUAGCCAAGUUGUGUGAUACAACAUGUAUUGUCUCAGUCUUCGGGUUGUCCAGAUCAAGGCACAGCACAACUUUUCAAUGAACGAGUAUCUCGUCUCACACUCAGUAAACUUUUUACUGAGGUAAUAUAUAGCUCUUUCUUUCCUUCUCGAUUCAUCGUGUUGGCCAAGCACGUAUCCCAUAGAAUUUUCAAAUACCGUCAAAUACAGUAUCAGUGGUUUAUCUGGAUUAGGUGGUGUCAACACUGGGGCAUUAGAAAAAUAUUGCUUAACUUUGUUGAAAGUCUUCUAGCAUUCCUCGUCCCAACCACCAGGGUUGUGUUUCUUAAGGAGACGGAAUAUGGGGUCACAUUUCUCGAUUAGUUGUGAAAUAAACCGAGCGAUGUAAUUUAGUCUUCCUAGGAAUCCUCGAACUUCCUUCUGAGUACGUGGUGGAGGUAACUCUUAUAUGGCUUUGACUUUAUCUGGGUCAAUCUCAAUCCCUUUUCCACUGACCACGAAUCCUAGCAGUUUACUUGACCUGGCUCCGAAGGUACAUUUUGCGGGAUUGAGUUUCAACUGGAAUUUUCUCAACCUCAAAAAUAGUUUCCUCAAGACUUGCACAUGCUCUUCUUCAGUCCGAGAUUUGGCGAUCAUGUCGUCGACAUAGACUUCAAUUUCUUUAUGUAUCAUAUCAUGAAAUAGGGUUACCAUGGCUCUCUGAUAUGUUGCUCCCGCAUUUUUCAAUCCGAACGGCAUUACGUUAUAGCAAAAGGUUCCCCACAUGGUCACAAAUAUGGUUUUAUUCAUGUCUUCAGGGAUUGAACCCCAAGAAACCAUCCAUGAAGGAGAAGAGUGAGUAACCUGCCGUGUUGUCCACUAAGGUGUCGAUAUAAGGCAACGGGAAAUUAUCUUUCGGGCUGACUUUGUUUAAGUCUCUGUAGUCUACACAUAUCCGUACCUUUCCAUCUUUUUUAGGGACAGGGGACGAUGUUGGCUACCCAUUCCGAGUACUUAACUACUUGUAAGAAACCAGCAUCAAAUUGCUUCUUGACUUCCUCUUUUAUUUUCAACAGAAUAUAGGGCCGCAUCCUUCGAAGCUUUUGCUGAACUGGCUUGCAUUCUUCUUUGAUGGGGAGCCUGUGUACCACAAGGUCAGUACUUAGCCCAGGCAUAUCCUGAUAUGGCCAUGCAAAGAUAUCCUUGAACUCUUGGAGUAACUCAAUAAGGUCCCGCUUUGUCUCUGUGGUGAUGCAAGCUCCGAUCUUUACUUCUCUCCUUUCUAGUUCAUCUCCCAAGUUCACGACUUCUACGGUCUCUUUGUGGGGUAGAAUCUGUUUCUCCUCAUGUUCCACCAUCCUUAACAAGUCAGGGGAUAAGUUACAGUCUCUGUCAUCUUCAAAGUCCUAAGAUCCUUCUAGACACAUAUCUCGCUCAAAAUGAGACUCUAAAUGAGUAGCAACGUCACUCACAUCAUUGAUAUCUGAAGACCUGUUGUAGGUACGAAGGAAGAUACAAAGAACAAGAGAAUCUAAGAACAAAGAUAUGUAUGGUAUGAUCAUGAAUGAAAAAUAUUUGCAUGGAAUAAGUCGAAAGGAUGCAUUUUAUUGAAAUAACGAUUUCGAACAUAAGCCUAUUUCACAAAAGGACACUUCUUACUCCUAGGCCUAGAGCAAUAAGUGUGUUUUGGACCUUACUCUGAGUUAGUUCUAAAGACUACAGAAAGCUCUUCCGCAGUCCAAUUAUUUAGAACACUUCUCGGCUCAUAGGGGCGAAUGCCUGACAAAUUCUCUACCCCCAUUCCUUCUUCAUAUGUGGCGUUGAUGUCCAAACUUUCCAUCAUUCCUUCCAAGAUUUCCUUUCCUGACGUCUUCCGCUCGGAGUGAAUGACCCCUCCAGACACAAAAGUCUUCGAUAUAUGGGGGAAGAUCAUUGGUUCUCAUUUGAUUUCUCCCCCGCUUAAUCGCGCUCUCCUUCUUUCUUGUUUCUUCUCAAGUUCCUUGUUUCUUUGUUUCAUGUCUGGCUUAAACCCUAACCCAAAACGGUCUUGUUUGUCCUUCAUCAUUGGUAUAUUAAUCCUUCCCUGGAGGUAUCUCCCGAGUCCUCUUCCGGGUAGAGCCCCUUUUUUCAAUAGUUAGCCGUAGUCCCAUUCUUGUAGUCUCAUAUAACCUAGGUAUUGGAAUUUUAUUUCCUUCGGUGAUGAACGUCACGUUCACAAACUCCAAAGAUUGAAAAGAGCACUCGAUCGCCUCAUCAUUUUCCUCGAGAUAUGGGGUGUCACUGGUUAUUGUCGCGAUGAUAUCCUCUUCAACAUUGAUCGUUACUAACCAACCUUCAGUCACUAAUUUCAACUUUUGGUGCAGCGAUGAAGGGACUGCCCCUGCCGAGUGUAUCCAUGGUCUCCCCAAUAGGCAAUUAUACGAAGGCUUAAUGUCCAUGACCAAGAAAUCUACCUCAUACGUGCUCGGCCCGAUUAAGAGGGGUACUUCAAUUCUCCCCAUUACCUUCCUUUCUGUGCCAUCAAAUGCUCUCACUACACUUUGGCAUGUCUUCAUAUGGGAACUAUCCACUGGCAACCUACUCAGCGUAGAUAGGGGUAAGACAUUCAGCGCAGACCCAUUGUCGAUCAAUACCCCCGGUAAUGUGUACCCUUUACAGUGAGUCAUGAUAUGCAAAGCUUUAGUUAAUCCUCGGCCCCCUGGUGGUACCUCAUCGUCAUUGAAAAAUAUGAAGUUGUCGGCACUUAUAUUGUUGACUAAGCGGUCCAGUUUGUUUACAGAGAUAUCAUUAGCAACAUAAGUUUCAUUCAGCACCUUCAUCAAUGCGCUGCGAUGGGUUUCGGAGCUUAAAAGUAAAGCCAGUACCUAUAUACGCGCUAGCUAUUUGUGCAACUGUUCUACCACACUAUAUUCGCUGUGCUUUAGAAAUUUUAAGAAUUCCUUGGCUUCUUUGUCAGUCACUGAUUCAUUAACAGUUGGUUCAGGCCCUGCCGGCUUCUCUUUCUUUUACUCAAUUGCUAAUGAUUUUUCUUUAACCUGGUCGACUUUUGUAUUUGGGGUAUAACGCCUUCCUGCUGCGUGUAUAAAAACCUUCGUCUUGAACUUCCUCUGAUGUAUUAAUCGGGGUCUCCUCUCCCGAGAAUGUCACAUUGCAGCUAUAGUUCCACGGUACCCUUUUGCUAUCUUUAUAAGGAAAAGCAACGGGCUUUUGGAUCACGACCUUUGGCGCAACUAGUGCCCCGGCUUCAUUCAUUCUCGGAUGUGAUAUGAUAACCACUGGGUGGUUGACUUUGUAAACAUCCUUCGUCGACCCCUCUUCGGAGGCACACACAUCCGCUUCUUCCAGGCUCCCAACAUAUUCGAAGAAUUCCAGCUCCUUAUUAUCCAUCAAUCCUUGUACUAAAGCCCUGAAUUGGCUGCAUUUCUGAAUCUCAUGAUCCUCUUGAUCGUGGAACUCACAAUAAUUCUUCACUUCUCGAGGUUUGACCCUUGAAUUCUGUGCUAUCAACCCUUUUUCCACCAUUUUCUUCCAUACUUCUUUUAGUGGAGUAUCUACUUCUGCAACAUUCAUCUUAAUUUUCUUCCCUGAACCCUUAUCCCCAGUGAUUAGGUAAUGGGUUUUCUGCACUAGGUGUAUCAUCAAAUUUCACAAUCCCCAUGUUGAUGAGUCCUUCAACCAAUUUCUUAAAAGUGGUGCAGUUUUCUAUCGAGUGUCCUGUGGCUCCCGCAUGGUAUUCGUAUUGGGCAUUUGCGUCAUACCAUUUGGGGUAUGGAGGUUGCAUUGGCUUUAGAUAGAAGGGAGACACGACAUGUGCAUCAAAUAAACUCUGGUAUAACUCCUUGUACGUCAUUGGAAUGGGCGUAAAUUGAAGUUUCUCCCUAUUUUGUUUUGCGUUGGGCUCUUGUCUGGGUGGGCCCUGCUGUCUAGUAGUUGUCGACCUUGGUUGGCUUACGGUGAUUGAUUUCAAAUAUGAGCUGACAUUAUUCACCUCGUGCUCUUUCUUUCUUAGUGCUGACCUCUUAGCGUUUUCCCCAGCCUAUAUUUUCCCACAUCUUAUGGCAAUUUCUAUCAUUUCUCCAGACAUUACUAUGUCUGAAAAACUCUUGGUUGUGCUACCCAGCAUGUGGUUAAUAAAAGGUGCCUUCAGGGUAUUGAUGAAGAGCAUAAUGGUUUCUUUUUCCAACAGAGGGGGUUGGACCUGUGUGGCCACUUCUCUCCAUCGCUGGGCGUACUGCCUAAAGCUCUCAUUAUGCUUUUUCUCCAUAUUCUGUAAAGUGAUUCUAUCAGGGGCUAUGUCCGCCACAUGACCGUACUACUUCAUGAAGGCUUGUGCUAAAUCUUUCCAUGACUGAUCUGGGUGCGACUCAGUUGGUUGUACCAUCUAGAAGCGGCCCCAACUAGACUUUCUUGGAAGCAGUGAAUUAAUAGUUGGUCAUUGUUGAGAUGGCCUGCCAUUUGUCUGCAGAACAUAGUGAUGUGAGCUUCGGGACAGCUAGUCACAUUGUAUUUCUCAAAUUCUGGAGUUUUAAACUUGGAAGGGAGUACCAGGUCCAGAACCAAACUUAAUUCCUUAACAUCGAUUCCACCAUGAUAGUCGGUGCUUUCCAUUUCUUUAAAAUUUUUUUCCAACCAUCUACACCUUUCUUCAAGCUCUCUUGGGAGUUCUACCCUUGUCUUUUCUACUUCUGUUACUUCAUCAAGAUUGAGGACCACAGGAUUAGUUGGGUUGUCCUCCGGAUUAGAGCCCGAGCCAGCCUGAUAAUUCAUCGGUGCUGAAACACUGGCCUGAAAUAGUUGGGGCCUAAUUGUGACCGAUGGCCUUCUUGGGUACAUGUCAGGUUGUGUCUGAACGUCUGCUGGGGCAAAACCCGGAGGGUAGGUAGAAUCUUCAUUAUCUUCUCCCGCAUUGAUCAAAGGGCUUUUCCCUUUUUCUAAUCCGCCAGCCAAUAGACGAGUUAAUUGGUCCAUCAUGCUUUUCUGGGACUCCAACAUAUGGUCCCUCAUAUCUUGCUGUAUCUUAGCCAGUUGCUCUUGCAUCUGCGCUUGUAAUUGUUCUUGCAUCUCCCUUUGCAUUUGUUCUAUCCUUUUUAAUCUCUGGUUUAUUACUUUGGUUUUACGGUGGGUAUAAGUGGCUGUGUUCGGUUGCUUGAUUCUCGUUGGUUUCCAGAUUAACUGAAAUAAUUUUGUUUAAUCAGGGUUUUUUAGUGAAAGUUUAAUGCAAAUGUUUCAAUGUAAUGCAAAUGUAUGGAAUGAAUGCAAAAGAAAGGAAGAUGUUGAUCUUGAAUUCAAUUCUAUUAGAAUAACUUUUCUAGAAAACAUAUUUCUUUACAUGAAAAUAGAUUACAUAUGCAGUAGUUGCCCUUCAUAGUCCAAGUAAACGCUGAUCUUUUCUUCAUGGUCGAAUCCUGUAAAUUCUCUAAAAGAUGCCUUUAUGCUGCUUAAUCUGAGCCUCGAUCUCUUGCUCGCUUAUCUCCAUGAUACUCAUCAAAAGUGUCCGGCUCUUGAAUAAUCUUCGUUGGCAAUUAAAUCAAGUCAUGUAUUCCUUCGUGGACUUCUGGCUUUCUCUCGUCAUGCCUUUGUUGGCUUGAAUCUCUGGCAAUUACAUCAUGUAUUCCUCCGUGAACUACUAGCUUUCUCUCAUCGUGUUUACUUGGACUAUAUUCAGGCGAUCGCACUAUAAUCUACUUUAUCAAGAAAUUCGUUUCCUUAUGAAAAACUAUUCUAUUUAGGAAUUAAAUUUCGAAUCAAUACAUUCUUUUCUUUGAUGUAAUGUAAUGCAAAUACAUGAACGCAAAAAAAAGGAAGGCAUUGAUUCUAAAUUUAAUUUCAUUAGAACAACUUUUCUAGAAAGUAAAUUCUUUUACAUAAAACGGACUACAUAUACGGCUUUUCUCUUGUAUUCCAAGUGAAGACACCUAUCUUCCUCUUCAUAUCCGGAUCUUGUGGUCGAGUCUGACUAAUUCUCCAAGAGAUGUCUAUAUUAACUCCUUUUUUGCUCGAUCCAGGCUGCGACUCGUUGCUCACUUAUUACUGUGAUACUUGUCAGCUCCUUUAAGAAGGUCAAGAUGUGACGGCUCUCGAAUAAUCUUUGUCAGUUUCUGUCUUCAGGCAAUGAAGCGAAGUCUUGUAUUUCUUCACGGGCUAUCAGUCUUCUUUCAUGUGUUCACUUGGAUCAUAUUUAGACAACCGUAUUAUAAUUCCACUUUAUCAAAAAAUUCGUUUUCUUAUGACAAACUGUUCUAUUUAGCAAUCAAAUAUGAAUCAACACCUCCUUCCUAGGAUGAUGUAAUGUAAUGCAAUUAUAAACAAAACAAAAAUAAAACACGUUAGUGCAGGAUAAAUAAAUAACAAAUAAAGCAAUUCGGGUGACCAUUAGGGGUUCGGAGUGGCUCUACCUAGGGUGGGCUCCUAGGUCUCUCUAUAUGUGGUUUGGUUCUAGAGUAAGGGUACCUGAACCAGCAGAUUCCUCGAUCCUCACCCAUUAUAGGCUCAUUUGAGUCGAGUUCAAUUCAAGAGAAUACAUUUCCUUAUGGCUACACGGAGAUGAAAAUCUCACGAAACCAUAGGUACGGAUGUAUUCCGAAAGUGAUCCACUAUCCUGCACGGAGGUGAAAACCUCACGAAGGCGUAGUUUCUCACUCCCACUUAAGGGUGUGACCACAACGGUCAUGCAAUGCAAUGCAAGAAGAUAUAUGCAUAAAAACUUGAAAUGAUUAAAGAAAAUAGGAAUAAAAUUAUGAAAACAGUACGAAAAACGGGUGAAACGCAAUGAAGAGAUCGUAUAUCAAAACCAAAUUCUCAAUUUUCGAAAAAAGACAAAAGUUAAUCAACUUGUGGCUUGACUCUCUUAUAAAACUCCCCAGUGGAGUCGCCGAGCUGUCGUAACCAUUCUUUUGAAAAAACGGGUAUAGACUUGGAGAAAAAAAAAUGAAAACAGGAGUCGCCACCAAUCUUUUUAGGUGUGAUCGGAUCACCUUAAGUUAAUCAUUUUAAUAAAAGUUAAGAUUUACUAAAACGAUAAUUUUUGGUCUACGAAAAUCAGAAAAUGAGUUCGGGAGUCAGGUUACGCACGAGGAAGGAUUAGCACCCUCGAUACGCCCAAAAUUGGUACCUAGUUGAUUAAUUAGUGUCUUAGUGUCGAAAAUUUGAAAACUUGAAAGAAUUUAAAAUACGAUCCCUCUUUGUAAAGAAAAUGCUCAAAUGUUAAGGACCUUCUCGUCUCACAAUAUAAAAUGUCACAUCUAGUAAGUUAGGACACGACAUCUUGAAUUUUCGAGAGCGAGCUUGCCUUUUAUAUAAAAUUUCGUGUAUUUCAAAAGGUUAUUCAGUUAGUUAAGGUGAACGAGGAAAAUCGAAACCCAGUAAGUUAGGGCACGUUUCCUCGAAUUCCCAAACACCAAAUAUUGCCUUUACUUGCAAAAAUCUUAUUUCGAGGUAACAAAAUGCCAUACCCAGUAAUUUAGGACACAACACCUCGUAUCUCCGAGAAUAAGCAUUUUUCAAAACUCAUGUCGCGAUUUAAAAGAGUAUUCCGUUAUUUAGGUUAAAGGAGAAAAAUUGAAACCCAGUAAGUUAGGGCACGAUUGUCUCGAAUUACCAAAUACGGAAUGUUACUUUUAUGAAAGAAUUAUUAUUGGGUUGGAUAUAAUGAUAAUAAGAAUAAUAUUAAAGUAAAGUAACUAAUAAUACUAUAUAUAAAUAUAUAUAUAUAUAUGUAUAAUAGAAAUACACACUACUAUAUAAUAAUAAUAAUAAUAAAUACAGAAAUACAAAAAGCAAAUAUAAUAAAAAUAUUAAAUUAAAGUAAUAAAAAAACAAUACUAUAUAUAAAUAUAUAUAUACAUAAAAAUAUACACUAAUAUAUAAUAAUAAUAGUAAUAGCAAAAAUAAUGAAAAUAUGAGUAAUAUUAAUAAUAUAUUAGAAUACAAAAGUAAAGUAAUAACAAUAGGGGUGAUAAUAAUAAUAAUAAUAAUAAUACAAACAAUAAUACAUAUAUAUAUAUAAAAAUAGUAGUCAGAAAUAAAAAAUAAUAGAAGUAACAAUAAUGAUAGUAAUAAUAUAAAUAAAUAUGGAGAGGGCAUAUAUAAUAAAAUAAUAUAAAUAAUAAUAUACACAUGAGAAAUAAUAAUAAUAUAAAUAAUAGUAAAAAUAAUAAAAUAAAAAAUAAAACAAAGCUCUCAACUCUCUUUCUCCCUCUUUUCUAAAUUCGGCCGUUGGUCCGGUUUUGCUUCAGUCAUGGACCCCCACGGGCCGCCAUCGGCGUCACCGUACACGGCGGCCGGACCUCAAAAAAAACUUUUUCGGUAAUGAAAAUAUGGGUAAGCUUCUUACUUUUAUUUUUACUUUCGUAUAAAAAAACAAAAUAAAAUUGAAAGGAAAACAAUAAACAAACAAAGAACUUAAGAUGAGAAUAGAUAAAAGAAACCUCUUUUGCUUUGAUCUUUGAUUAAUCUCAAAAAACUAGCAUUUCCAAAAAACAAAAAACAACCCCCUUCUAACAUAGUCUUGAAUGGCUUUUAUAGCCAAAUUUUUACAAAUAAAUUUUUUGUAAGCAAGUGGAGUGGUUGGGGUGGUUUAGGUGGCCAAGGUGGGUGGCCAACAAGGGUGGUGGAGUAGGUGGCCAAGGUGGGUGGCCAAGGUGGGUGGCCAACAAGGGUGGUGAAGUAGGUGGGAUUAGGGUUUUCUUUUUCUGAUUUUUUUUUGGGUUGGGUUAGUGUUUUAGGCUAAGUUUUGGGCUAAGGGUUUUGGGUUUGUAUUGGAUUUUAAUUGGAUAGUUGGGUUAUGUUUAUUUGAGCCCAAAAUUGGGCUUGUACAAUCAAAAUAUAUAAGAAUGUAAAAGAGCAAUAGGUAACUUACCUAUUCAUUUAAUAUCCUUUUAACAAUUAGCUUUUUGGUCAACUCAAUAGAUCUCCCUUCUCAACUUAGUUGCUGGAGAUACCGGACAAACUUGUCAAAAAAGUAAAUGAGACAUGUCAACCCAUGUGUUAACCGAAGUAGGAGGUAAAUAUUAGCUUAUUUAAUUAAUCCUUGUUGGUUGCUUUUAAAAAAUGGAUUUUAAUAAAGGACAAUUAUCUAUAUUUUGAAUCACCUAUUCAUAUCCUUGCACAAUUAAAACACACAAGUCUAAUAUUUGUUUUAAACAAAGAAGGUGAGAUGACAAUAAUAUCCUCCUAACUACGAGGCUUUUGUUGAUAUUCAUGUCUAAAUUUUAAGUAAGAUGACUAGUUGAAAUAAAAAUUGUUGGCCAAAUAUACAUGAUGACAAUAAUAUCCCCUAACUAUGGAGCUUUUGUCUUCAAUGUAAUGAUAGACCUACUCAUUAUAUUUUAACUUUUCGUAAUAAAGACUAGAAAUAUUAUUAUUCCUUUGAAAUAUUUUUAGUAUUCUUAUUUGCUAGAGCUAAAAGUUGAAGUGUUCUUUUUUAAAAAGCAUGUUAAUUAAAUCCUUGUUGGCGUAAGGGCCUAAAAGGCAAUUUGUCCAGUUUAGCCAAGGUCCAUGCCUACUUACAACGAUAGAUGACAUUAAUAUCCUGUCCUAAUCAUUUAAUAUCCUCUUAACAAGGAGGCUUUUCGAGUUUUAUUUUAUUAAAACUAAAUAAUAUGACUUUGACUUUAAAGUAUAUUAAAAAAAUGGUAAAACUAAGUCUGGGCCAUAUUUGAUAUUUACACAUAUAAAAUAAAAUGACUUUGUUAUCAUAUUUAAAUUUAAAAGUCUUACUUGUAAAGCUAGAAGGUUGUGUAUAAAUAUGUGUAUGGAGGUAGAUAUGAAGCAGCUUAUAUAGAAGGAGAGUGAAAUAAAAAAGGAGUUAAAAAUGGCUUGUCCUCCGACUUAUAAAGUGGUAAAAGGUGAGCUUAAGAAUGUUUCUGAUGACUGCCAAGCGAGCUUGAAUUAUUCGAGUUACCAAGGUGCUCCGGUAACGAUUAAAAAAGAUUCAUUACCCACUCCAUUUGCGCAGAAUAUGUUAGUCGACGGUUUGUACGGAGGCCUGGUGUAUGAUGUUGGUAGGGUUAAGUGGAUUAUUCUUUGGACCAUUGAUUGUAAGGUAUUAAUUAAUUAAUAUGUUCUUUUUUCUUUUCAUUUAUUUUGAUUUUGUAGCAUAAGAAAUUAAUUAAUUAAACUAUAUAUCAGGUGGCUACUAAGAUCCUUAAACCCGAAGACCCUAUUAUUUGGGAGGAUAUAGUGCGCAUCCUUCAGCCCUACGAUAGCACUGACUACUUGCCCUUAUCACCUGGGAAUGUAUUUUCCGCAGAAGCUCAUAUCCAUGCAAAUGAAGAUGGAUCUCUAAGCCUGAAAGCACAAAUCAUGUGGAACUAUUGCAUUUAACCUACUUUUUUUUUGCAUCAUAUAUUGCUCCAUGCUUACCUCUAUCAAUUUAUGCUGUGUGACCCACGGAGGCUGUCUACUUCUUUAUAUUAAUAAUACUAUUAAAUAAAUUUGACAGCCACCCCAUAAUAUACUACUGGAUUCCUACUUCUUCGACCUUACCUAUCCAACAAGGUGACCCCGUGGAGGCUGUCCCAGGCCGUGUGAACCCUCAAAUUUACCUAAAAUCAAGCCACUUCAAGUCUAUUUCAUGCAUAACUAACCAUUCCAUUUGGGUACACAAUUAAGGGAUUUAAACAUCAUUCAAACAUACAUAAACAUGUCAUUUCAAACAUCCUAAUUCAUCUAACCAAUAUGCCACUCAAAGGCACCUCAACUGUAUCAAAACAUUAUGGAUUAGACCAAAGCAAAAUUGACCAUAUCAUAAGCAUCUAACCUAAUUCAAACACCUACCAAAACACAUCACAGUGACCAUUUUCAGUCCAUCACAAACAUGCCAAAAGACCAUACAUUUCAAUUACCAAAAGGCGGUCAAGAAGACCUAACUUAACAAGCAUUAUAAGCCCAUCAACCAAACAUAAACUUCAAUGGCACAAACAUACCAAAACUUACGUUCACAAAAUACCAUCACAAAACAACCUAUACAUGUCAUUAUUAACCUUGGCCAAAAUUACUCAAAAACUACCGAAUUGACUGCUGGAUAGGGUGAUAGGUCUCCGACGAGCUUCCGAUAAUCUAUAAAAAAAGGAAAGUAAAUACAUAAGCAACGAGUGCUUAGUAAGCUCGUAUAAACUUAAACUUAACUUACCAUUUCAUUUAUACAAUUCAUAGAUUAGUCAUAAAUCAUUACCAAUACCAUAAGUUUGGCUUAAGCCUAUACAACAUCAUCAAUUUCACAAGUUAGUACACUUGUUCAUCAUACAAAUGAGUUCAACCAGAAGAUAAGUAAAUUUCCUUAUAUAAACACAUCAUUUAACUCAUCAAUGUUGCCAUAAGAUCAUGAUUCAUUCCAUUUGCAUACUUACCAUUUCACUUCAUUUUCUUACCCAUUGAACCAUCUAGAAUUACAGUGGAUACUCGAGAAAGCUCACACAUAGUGUGCCUUUACAUAUAAUCCUAACAUUUCAUUUACAUCCAUGCUCACACGAGCUGUGAAAUAGGCCUGCUCACACGAGCUAUGGGUCGGAAUGUAAGCUACACGAUGCUGCUCACACGAGCUGUGGAGAAUCCACAACAAAUGCAGGACCUCAGCCAUCAGUAGGGCAUUCAAGACCAACAACCGAAACAUGAAAUCCCUAAUGACAUGUCAUUUGUAUCCUAAGAAUUCUUAAGAUUCAACCGGGACUCGUUAUCCGUCAAUUCAUCAUAGCAUUGAUUCAUUUAUAUUCAAAUUCAAUUAUAUUAAAACAACAUAGUAAAUAGUUAAUUUGGCUAACUUUAAAAGGAUUGUAGUUCAUACAAACUUACCUCGGUACUAAAGUCGUAGAAGUAAAGUCGAGCUAAUUCAAAGCUUUGGCUUUUCCUCGAUUUUAAGUCUAAUUGUGGUUUAUCUUGACCUAAAUAAAUAAUUUCAUUCUAUUAAGUACUUCUAGAAUUCAAUUUAAUCAAUAAUUCAUAUUUAUACAAAAUUAAAAAUUUCCCCUUAACAUUUUAACUUUUCACAAUUUAGUCCUUAAGCUCUUAAUUUAAGAUCUAACCAUUUUAACCUAAAUCCAACUUAACCAAUGUUACAAGGGACCUUUAAAAAACCCAUUAUUAUUUACAAUUCACAAUAAAACCCAUGAAUUUAUACUUUUAAUAAUUUAGUCCCUAAUUACAAAAUUCAACAAAAAUCACUUAACAAAACAUGUUUAUUUUACAACAAAGAUUAAUAAUCUAUCAACUAACAUAAAAAAAUACAAAAGCAUCCAUGGCAAGUCCCUUAACCUUUAAAGAUUUUGCAAAUUAACCCCCGGGCUAACUAGAUUAAGCUAAAACGAACUAAAAAACAUAAAAAAAUAUAUUAAAAACGAGAGACAAAAUCAUACCAUGCAAGGGAAACAAGCAUUUUCUGAAAUCUCCUCUUCCUUUAAUGGCUAACGUCACUUUUAGAAAGAAGAGUGUGGAAGAUGAUACUUUCCUUUAGGUUAUCUUUAUCAUUUAUUUAUUAAAUUACUAAAUUAACCUUUAAAAAUCAUUUAAACUACCAUAAAACCUAUCCAUCACAAUCCACUAUCUUAGUAUAUAUUUUAAUUUCCAUCUAAGUCCAUUUGAUUAAGAUUUCACAUCAAUCUUGUAACGCCCCAAUUUUCGGGAAUCCUGUGAAUGUUGGCAUAGGUUUAAUUAUGUUAGUGGGCCUCUAGAAAGCCCAAACUUAAGAUAGAACCCAACAAUUUUAGUUAAUUUUUUUCCAUAAGAAAAAGGGGGUGAAAUUAUGAAAUAGAACCUAUGUGAAAAUGUUUGAAAAUGCUAUAGGCUAAAUUGAAGUGGCCAAAUAAAUAGGAGUGCAAAAUAGGAGGAUUUGCAUGACAAACCUCCCAUUUUACAUGAAGUGGCCAGCCAUCAUCUUGUUGUAGACAAAAUAUACACUUGAUAUCCAUAAUUUAUGGUACAAAUUGAUACAAAUUGAUAAAAGGUUAGGUAAAUGUUCCAUGAUAAUAGGUUAGGUAAAUGUUCCAUGAUAAUGGGUUAGGUAAAUGUUUCAUGAUAAUGGGUUAGGUAAAUGUUUCAUGAUAAGAAUUUCAUGUCUUUUGUAUUAAAGAAUUAAAUGGAUGAAAUAUGAAGUUUUAUUAAAAGAAAAAGGGGUGAAAAGAAUAAAGUUUUGUCCAUCUUUGUUCAUCAUAGCUGAAAGUUAGAGAAGAGAAAGGAGAGGAGAAAGCUCUUGAGUAUUCGGUCAUUAGGAGGAGGAAAAUUGAAGGUAAGUUCUUGGUACCUUGCUUCUAUUUUGAGGUUCAUGAGUUCUUCUUGAUUCUACCUUAACUCUUGAAGUAUAUUUUGAUUUUUAGUUGUGUUGUGAGCAUUUAGUCAUGAAUUAAAAUGAAGGAAAUGGUUGUUGUUUCAUGUUCUUUUGAUGAAAAAUGGAAGAUAGGUGAAGUUGAGCCAAACAAAUGAACAUGCAUGUGCCUUAGAUGCUAAAGGGAAAAAUCGGCUAACAUGUUGUGCUUUAAAAUGAUGAAAUGGAGAUUAUACUUAAGUAAAAUCAUAGAUAUGUGAUGAUUGAUUGGUGAUAUAUAUGUUUAAAUAACAUGCAUGCAAGGUAUGUGUGAAAGAGUGAUUUGGUAAUAAAUCUGCUUGGGACAGCAGCAGUAACGUGACUUUGGAAAAUCACCAUAAAUUGUGGGAGAUGAAUUAGAAGCUGAAUAAAUUAUGUAAUUAAAGCUUAUUGAGUCUAGUUUCUAAUGAAAUAAACAAGAACAUAUUUUGAAUUCUGUACAAUGAGAAAUUUGAUUCGUAAUGAAGAGUGGUCAGAUUAGUCAAACAGUGAAACAUGGGAAACUUUGAGAAAAAUCUGGUAUUGAUUGACUAAACCAAAAAUUCUGAAAAUUUUAUGGAUAGAAGAUAUAUGAGUCUAUUUUCAGGGAAAAUUAACGACACAUGAUUUGGAGUUUCAGUAGCUCCAGUUAUAAAUGAUUUAGUGACUGUUGCUCAGGAAGACAGCUUGCAGUGAAAUUAUGAUUAUGUGGUAAACAUUGACAAAAAUUUGUUAAUGAGUUGCUUAUUGAUUUCUUAUAAGCUUACUAUGAUCUAUAGGUGUGGUUGGCCGAAUAUUGUAAGGGGUUAAUACGUAGUUCGUAUUUGAAUAGUUAGAUUAACGUGUUAGUAAUCCAAUUGUAGGACGGUUCGUGUGUGGAUCUCGUCAGCAUAUCGUCGCAAACAGGUGUGUAACUGACACCCUCUCAUAGACUAGAUUGGCAAAAGCCGAAAAGCCGAAAUGCCGAAAAGUCGGUAUUUUGGGAAUUUACGAGUGUACGAAUGCUCGUAAGAUAGUUGGGUUUGUAUAUUUGGUAAUCUAAAGUAAUAAAAUGCAGUACGCGCGAUUUCGUACAUUUUGAUAAUUUGGGCUUAAUGGGCCAAAGAUCGGGUUCAUGGGCCAACGGGCCCUAAUUCGGUAAGUAUGCGCGGUAAGUGUUCUGAUAGUACGUAAAUAGUUAGGAUAUGCAUGAAAACCCUAAAAGUAGCUAAAUUACUAUAAUACCCCUAUGUAUGGAAAAUUACUGUUAUACCCCUAGGUGCAAAAUUACCGUUAUACCCCUAGGGUUAAUUUUGACUGAAAAGCAUGACGAUCUGAUUCUGUAUGAUGUAUGCCAUGAUUAUAUAUCUGUUGCAUGGGGACAUGGGUUAUAUUAUGGAGGAAGCAUUCUGGUGGCUAUGCCACAAAUAUCUGAUCUGGUGGCUCUGCCACAUAUAUCUGUUCUGGUGGCUCUGCCACGAUUAUCUGUAUCUGGUGACUCUGUCACAUUAUCUGUUCUGGCAGCCAUGCUGCAAAUUCUGUGGUGUGUAGCGGUUGGGUGGGUCGAGUUGUCUCCCCACACUGGUGUAAGGUUGGUACGAGGGUGUAUACGGUUGGAUAUGGUUGGGUUUCUGCAUAAACAUGUAAUAUCUGUUCUGUUUUGUUCUGUUAUGGGCUUAUGGGCUUUAUUCUGAAUUUCUGUUCUGGGCUAAGGCCAACUUAUUCUAUUUCUGUGGUUUAAGCUGAUAUAGGCUAUGGUUGGGUUAAUUUACACACUGAGUUUCCCCAAACUCACCCCUUUUAUUUUCAUCCACGCAGGAAAUCCCCAACCAUAGUGGGCUUGGAGCUGUGAGGGAAUUCGGAGUGGCCACCCGUUCUGAAAGUUUGAUUUUCUUCUGGUGAACUGGACAUCCUUUUAUUUACGUUUGAAGUUUUGGGUUUUUAAAUGUAAUAAGGUCGCUUAAUUAUUUUUGAUGGUUUUAAUAUGUAUUACUAAGAUAGGUAUUACUUAUUUUAACUGUUGAAAUUGGAUAGCUUUAGGGCGAGUUUUCAAAAACAACAAUUGAUUUCAAAAUAACACGACAACAAGCAAAGCUUCCGCAAUGAAAGUAUUUUCCAAAAUUAAUCACUUUUCCUAAAAAUGACUUAAUCGAAUCGGUUUCCUAGAAAUAUCCAUGACGUUAAGGUGUGGCAAUGGCGGUAUGCAUGUCUAGGAUUGGAUCCGAAGGGAGCUUGGUACUUAAGCAGUCCGAUGGACUCACCACCUCUUUUCCGGUUUCCUACCUGGUGCACAGCUUCCAUUCACUUUAACCCUUAAUGAAUUAAUCUUUUGAACAUCAAGUAAGAUUUUCUGGACUUAGAAUGGAAAAAUUUUUUAACGUUUUUGAUGUGGCAUGCCGGAUCCGGCCAUAACUCCUGGGCCGGGUUUGGGGUGCUACAAAUCUGAUCCUUUUAAAUAAUAAAACUCAAGUUUUACACCUUUUAUAAUUUAGUCCUUUUUACCUAAUUAACCUCUUAAACCUCAAAAAUUUUAACAAAAUUUUAAUAUGACAUUAAUGUAAUCUUGUAGUCAUUAAAAUAAUAAUAAAAUAAAAACUCACUCGUUAGAAUUGUGGUUCCAAAACCACUAUUUUCAACACCACUAAAAAUAGGUUGUUACAUGAAGAGUACAAGAACUUUGAGUAUAUUAUAAUAUUUACAUUGGUACACUACAUUUUAAUCAAAAAAAUAAAUAAUUAACCCAAUUCGAAGUGUUGGUCAAACCAUACUAAUUUUUUUUUUCAUUUGUAUCCAUACUAUUUUUAAUUAGCUUUCACCCAAUAUGUUUUUAAAAAUUUCGGGACACUACUCUUGUACGUGAAUACCCGCCAAACUUGAAAUUUCUUUUUUUAAAAAAAGAAGUACAGUUAUCUCAAAAGUUUUGACUCAUAUCGUUCCAUACCCAGAUAGUACGACCGAGUUGGGCGUGGUAUAUUACAUGUCACCCACCUACACUCCUAAUCGAAACUCUCCAACUUGUUCUUCAGUAAAGUAAUUUGACGUCAAAUUAAUUGUACAAACUAUGUAUCAUUUCUAACACCGUUCAAGGGAUCCCUCUUUAAGUCACACUAAAAGCAAUACAAUGUGAUGAUCCUACCUAUCUCUGAAAUGGAGAAAAGGUGAACACUAUAACACCCUACACUCGGCCUAGAACUUAUGACCGGAGUGUGAAGGGGACAAUGAUAAAUUUAAAAAUUUAGCCACUUGAUCCCGUAACUCAUCUUAUAUUGGAAAACGAAGAUUCUAAAAAUGAAUGGUCAGGAAAUAAAAUGUUUAGCUAGACCUUUUGUGUAUUCUUUAGAUAAUCUCAUACUCGAAACAAUUAUUUUAUGUCAAAAUCACUCAAACAUUUUCUUAGUUUAGCAGCGAAAAAUUGCCAGAUUUUAGUUUCUAAAAUCGAAUACCAAUUUGUAAGUUUGAGUGAUUUUGUAGUUUUAAGUUAAAAAUACCAAAAACUGGCGAACAGAAAAAAAACCCAAAACAAAGUCCAAAAAAUACUUUACUGUCUAACAUAGUUAAAAACGUAAAACCAUCUUAAUUAAUUUUUUGAAAAUCCAAUCCAAGCUCCCUCGCGUCGACAAAUUCUAGGAUUGAUGAAUACCUAAAAGGGUAAAACAAAAGAGUGAGCUAUAAAGCUUAGUGUGUAACUAAACUGAAACAAAGAACAUAAAGAACACAAUAAACAAAUCAAAGUAUUCCAGAGAGCUUCAUAACGAACAAUUCAGUAAAACUGAGAAUGCGUGUGCUGUAAUUUUCAGAAAAACAUGCACAUAUUUUUUAGAAAAUUUCUUACCCAACUCUAUUACACACCAAAUUAGAGUUCCUAUAACUCAUCCAUCCAAAAGCACACCAUGUAACUUCCCAAAUAUUGGUGUAUUUUAUUUAUUAAAUUUUUCAAUAAGUAGGUAUCUGCUUUGGGGAUUAAGGGUUUUGGUUGUGUGUUUGAGGUCAUGGGUUCAAACCUCACUCCUGGAAAAUUUUGCUAUUUUUGUCCCUAUUCCUAUCUUGGUCGUUAUGAAUUAAAUACCAUUUUCACUAAUUUAUAAUAGAAUCAGCCUAUUGGUUUAGCGGUAAGACUUUUGCUUACCUCUUGGUUUUGAGUUCAAAUCCCAUCCUAUGUGAGUAAGUAGGAUUAUUUUUGCUAGUCUUUCCUUUGGUAAGAUCUCAAGUUGUUGCUUUCUUUUCUUGAUCUUUGUUGUCCCCAAUUUUCUUUUAUUCUUUCAAUCAAGUUCAGUAGUAAGUGUUGAUUGAAUAGAUUGUAAAUUGAUUCAAGUGUAAUUAUCGUUUUUCUCUUUUUCAUUAUGGAAAUCUUCUUUCGUUGGUUAUAGCCUCGUUGGUGUGUCUUAUCGUUGUUAAUUGUUCGCUAGGUUUAGGGGAAACUCAAGAAACGAAUAAUCCUUCAGUGACUCAAGAUUUUGGAGGUGUUGAUGAUUAGAAGGUAAGGGAUUUUUGCAAAUUUGGAACUAUUGUGGCUGUUUGGAGUAAUUGGUGGGGACAAGAUUGGUAUUUUUAGGAAAAUUGUGGAGCAUAUCCUCUGAAAUGGAUCCGUUAUUGUUGGCUAAUCCGUUAAGUGUAUGCUGUUUUUAGGUGUUGGUAUACUCGUUUUUGUAACCCAUGUUAGAAAACAUCCAUGUGCGUAACAAAAAUCCGAGAAAACAACGAAUGAAAAAAUUUGUAUCUGUCAUGAUAAACAUAUGUCAUAUACAUUUUUAUAUCUAUAUUUCUACAUGAGCAUUGUAUGGGAUAUAUGUUUGCAGAGGAAGUGUAGGAAGUUUAUUCUAUUUGACGUAUUUGGUGGCUCAGCCACACAUAUAUUUUUGUUACCGGGGAAUUAAUGCCUUAUGAUCUGGCAGCUAAACUGCAAAUGUUCUGAAAAAGCGGCAUACAGUCUCUAAGUGGUGUGUAGGGUUGGGUAGGUACAUAUACCCUAUAUGGUGUGUCGGGAUGGUCAGAGAUGAUGUGUAGCGGAUGGAGGUAGGAUUGUGUUUCUGUAUUUGAUAUGUUCAAUUUCUGCUUUGUUAUGAAAUAUAUGUUUGAAUGAUUUCUGAAAACAUGUUUUAAAUUAAAUUUGUGAUUCUGUUAUUAUGAGUUACACACUGAGCUCGAAGGCUCACCUAACCUUCAAAUUUAGGACGAGUCGAUGUGGCAGGAGCUCGAUAAAUGUUUUUAUUUAGUAUUAAUUAAAAAUCUAGUUCCUUCUCUUUCGAUAAUUUUGGGACUAUUCUUUUUUAAACUUUGAAUUUUAACUUGUUUCAUUUCCCGUUUUAAAUUAUUUUGAUGUAUUUCUUAUGAUAUUCAUUGUAUAUCCAAAACCAAGGUUUCCAAUAACAAAUCACAUUUUACAAAAUCGAACUAGAUUAAAAUUUCGUUGCAAACUUAAAUGUUUUAAAAGUAUAAAUAAUCAAAGGUUUCAUCAAAUUGAUUAAGAUGAGUUCUUUAAAUAACUGGAUUUUUACUUAGCGAAAGCUAGCGUCACGUUUAUAUGUGUUCAACGAUUAUUGGAUUUUCAAGUGAGCCGUAGUCACCCCUCCAGAUCUGGCCAUAACAUCUAGGUCAGGUUUCGGAUUUUAGGUACCAACAGAUAAUUGUGAACAAUGCCACCAGAAUUGCAGUCAAACUAUCAGGUUAGAAAUAUGUGGUCAAACCAUUAUAAUUGCUGUCAAGCUGGCAGAACAGAAAUGUGGUUAACCCACCAGAUAGUGCAAAUCAUUAAACUAACAGAUAUUUCCGCUUACCAUACUAUCCGAACCCCGUGAAAUGUGACAUGGAAUACAAAUACAGAAUCUGAAUAAAAAGCAUGUAAGACAUGCAGUUGUACAAUAACAAAAAUCAGAAGGCAUGGAAUUCCACGCUUUGUAGAACAGGUGUGUCACAAACUCAACAAAAACAAAUCGGUUUCGCCGUAAAGUCACAUGCAUGGACAUAUAACAUAUUCAUAGAUACAUUAAUUUACAUAAUCAGACAACAUAUACUCGUAUACGAACAUCAUGUUAAGUGUAUCAGUAAAAUCUAGUUGCAAAGUUAAAACUUAAAUGAAAGAUGUCAUUAAUAUCCUCUUAACAAUAACGUUCUUGUCAUUUUCAUUUUUAUUAAUUAAAACUAAAAAAAAUAUUUGCUUUAAAUAAAUUGAAUACUUGAUACACCUACUCAUAUAAAAAUUGCAAGUCAAAUAAACAAACAAGAACUAGAACAAUUAUUUGGAGCAAGGGGAACCUGAUGUAUUCUGGCAACUGAAUUUUUUUUAAAAGAAAUAUGAUUUUUUGGUAUUUGUGAUGUCUAUUUUACAGUUCAUGUCGGGGUCCUAACAAUUUCACCUUCAAGACUUGAACCUAGAUGUUCUCUCGGGAAUGUAAUGUUCCUUCCUUACCACUGCACCCAAUAGUUAUCGGUAGUUUUUAAAAACAUGUUAAUUAAAUAUAAACUUAUUUGAUUAAUCCUUGUUGGUAAUUUUUAAAAAUGGAUUUUAAUAAAGUACAAUUAUGUAUAUUUUCAAUCACCUAUUCAUAUCCUUGCACAAUUAAAACUCACAAGCCUAAUAUUUAUUUAUAAAAAGGUGAAAUGACAAUAAUAUCCUCCUAACUACAAGCCUAAUAUUUAUUUUAUAAAAAAAAGGGUGAGAUGACAAUAAAUUUUUUGUUCAUAUUCAGGUCUAAAUUUUAAAUAAAAUGACUACUUGAUAUACAUACUCAAAUAAAAAUUGUUGGCCAAAUAUACAUGAUGACUAUAAUAACCCUCUAACUAUGGAGCUUUUGUCCUCAAUUUAAUUAAAUUAUCUCCCAAUAUAUUUUCAAAGUACCGUUGGACACUGCUAAUUGAAUUCUUGUUGGCAUACGUGAGGGCCUAAAAGGCAAUUUGUCUAGUUUAGCCAAGGUCCAUGCCAAGAUAGAUGACAUUUAUAUCCUUUUAACUAUAAGGGUUUUGUCGUCUUAACAGGGAGGCUUUUCGAGUUUUAUUUUAUUAAAACUAAAUAAUAUGACUUUGAAUUUGAAGUUAUGUUAUUAAAUAUUUGAAUAAAAUGACUUUGUUAUCAUAUUUAAAUUUAAAAGUCUUACUUGUAAUGCUAGAAGGUUGUGUAUAAAUAUGUGUAUGGAGGUAGAUAUGAAGCAGAAUAGAAGGAGAGUGAACUAAAAAAGGAGUUAAAAAUGGCUUGUCCUCCAACUCACAAAGUGGUAAAAGGUGAGCUUAAGAAUGGUUCUGAUGACUGCCUUGCGAGCUUGAUGUAUUCGAAUUACCAAGGUGCUCCGGUAACGAUUAAAAAAGAUUCAUUACCCACUCCAUUUGCGCAGAAUAUGCUAGUCGACGGUCUGUACGGAGGCCUGGUGUAUGAUGUUGUUAGGGUUAAGUGGAUUAUUCUUUGGACCACUGAUUGUAAGGUAUUAAUUAAUCAAUAUAUUUUUCAUUUAUUUUGAUUUUGUAGCAGAAGAAAUUAAUUAAUUAAACUAUAUAUCAGGUGGCUACUAAGAUCAUUCCGACCGAAAACCAUAUUGUUUGGGAGGAUAUAGUGAGCAUCCUUCAGCCCUACGAUAGCUCUGACAACUUGCCCUUAUCAUGUGGGGGUGCAUUUUCCGCCGAAGCUCAUAUCCAUGCAAAUGGAGAUGGAUCUCUAAACCUGACAGCACAAAUCAUGUGGAGCGGUUGCAAGUAACCUGACUCUCUUUGCAUCAUAUAUUGCUCCAUGCUUAUCUCUAUCAGUUUGUGCUGUGUGACCCACGGAGGCUGUCUACUUCUUUAUAUUAAUAAUACUAUUAAAUAAAUUUGACAGCCACCCCAUAAUAUACUACUGGAUUCCUACUUCUUCUACCUUACCUAUUCAACAUUGUGUGCCUUGUUUCUCCUUUUUCUUUUCUUUUCUGUAAUAGUAUAUACACACACGAUUGUGUGAAUUAAUAAAAAAAUGUCUAUGUCUGUGUCUAUAUCUAUAUCUUUAUAAAAGUGUUGGGUGCAAUAUUAAGACAUAUUGUAUUUUUUGUAGAUUAUAUAAAAUUGGUUAAAUUUCAAGUUUAUCUCUAUAUUUCACUCAAAUUUGAAAUUGAAUCUCUUUACUUUAAUUCUAACAUAAGUUGGCACCUGAAUUCUUAUAAUGUCUUUCGUUAGUCUAAAUAUGUUAUUCUAAUUGAAACGCUCAUGCGAAUUUAAAAGGAUUAUUAACACCAUCAAAAUUCUCUAUUAAAUUAAUUCUAGUCAAUUACAAUGUAAUUUUUUCUGCUCCUUGGGUACCAAGUAUAAGUAUAUUUUUUAAUUUGAAAAUGACAUGCCAACAAGUUUAACAAAAGAAUUAUGACAACGCUAACAAAUGGACCUAAAUUCAAGAUGUGGAGUUCUCUAUUGAUGUGACUUUGAGGAUCGCUCCUAUAACAGGUGUGCUGUAUAGAAUCACUCCAGGAGACAUGAAGGACUUGAAAGUUCAGCUACAAGAACUGUUAGAUAACGGGUUCAUCAGAUCAAGUGUUUCGCCUUGGGGUGCACCAAUAUUGUUUGUUAAGAAGAAGGAUGAGACCCUCCGAUUAUGUAUUGAUUAUAAGCAGCAGAAAAAAGUGACCAUAUUAAGUUGCCCAGGAUUGAGAACUUUUUUGAUCAGCUAACUGGAGCUAGAGUUUUCUCAAAGAUUGAUAUAUGAGCUAGGUAUUAUCAAGUUGAAACUUCCAAAUAUAAAACAACGUAAGAUGUUAAUAAUAUCCUCUUAACAAUAAUAAGAUGGAAGACUAGUAAUAAUAUCUUAACAAUUUAAACUAUUUCAUUUGGAAAUCUAACUAAGGAUCAUUCCCUUGCAUGUGUCAACUUGGUCGUAAAUUAGCGAUUCCUAUCUAGAUGGUCAAUGAUCAAAAUAUAUAAGAAUGUAAAAGAUAAAUAUAAAAAUUAAUCGUUGUUGGUUUUUUUAAAAAAAAUAAAUUUUAAUAAAGUACAAUUAUUUAUAUUUCGAAUCACCUAUCCAUGCACAAUUAAAACUCACAAGUCUAAUAUUUAUUUUUUUUUAAAAAGGUAAGAUGACAAUAAUAUCCUCCUAACUAUGAGGCUUUUGUUGUUAUUCAGGUCUAAAUUUUAAAUAAGAUGACUACUUAGAAAUAAAAUUUUAUUGCGGUCCAGGGACACGUUGAGGAGGAACAAUUAUGGAAAUUACAAAGAUGUAUGGUGGAUGAAACAGCUACCUGAUGCGAUAUUAAGAACUUACAAGGAAGAAUCGUAAAGGUAGGAUUAGGGGAGAUUAGAAUCAGAAGAACCCAAGGUAGAUUCUUCUUGGUCUGCAUACCAGAAGAGGAGCUGUUUGGGAUUUGGUUAUUUGCGAGAGUUCUUUGUUUCAAUCGAACCUUGAUCGGAACUUACAAUGGUGGAAGAGAGGGUAGCAUGGAUAGAUGUGGCUGGAGUUCCGUUACACUGCUGGAAUUACUAAAAAGAAUUAUUAAAAUAAAAAGAAUCCUAAAAGCUAAAAAGCCAUGAAUGCCAAAUUACUAAUGAUCCCAUGCCAAAAUCUUUCAUGUGAUUCCACAUUUUGUAUUUACACUCCACCUACAUUGAAAUUAGGCAAUAAACACAGAAUUUAGUAGCAUCAUGUCCCCAAAUAUAUCAAAAUAAAGCACAUAAAUAUGUCAAUUUGGCACAACAUCAUGUUAGGUGUGUCAAUAAAAUUUACUGUUUGAAAUCUCGCAUAGUUAAAACUUAAACAUAAAAUGUCAUUAAUAUUCUCUUAACAAUUAGGUUCUUGUCCAUUUUCAUUUUUAUUAAUUAAAACUAAAAAAUAUUUUUUUAAAAUAAAUUGAAUACUUGAUACAUCUACUAGUAUAAAAAUUGCAAGUCAAAUAUUCAAACAAGAACAAGAACAAUUAUUUGGAACAAGUGGAACCUGAUGUAUUUUGACAACUAAUUUUUUUUUAAAAGAAAAUUGGUUUUUGGGUAUUUGUGAUGUCAGUUUCACGAUUCAUAUUUUAAAAAGAAAUAUUUGUUGUGCCGUGGGAGUUCAGUUAAACGUUAUUAUUUAGUAGUAAUUAAAAAUCUAGUUCGUUCGGUUUUGAUAAUUUUUGGACUAUUUUUAAACUUUGAAUUUUAACUUGUUUUAUUUCCUGUCUUUAAUUAUUUUGAUGUAUUUCUUAUGAUAUUCAUUGUAUAUGCAAAACCAAGGCUUCCAAUAACAAAUCGCAUUUUACAAAAUCAAACUACAUUAAAAUUCCGCCGCAAACUUAAAUGUUUUAAAAGUAUAACUAAUCAACGGUUUCAUCAAAUUGGUUAAGAUGAGUUCUUUAAAUAACUGUAUUUUUACUUAGCGAAAGCUAGCGUCAUGUUUAUAAGUUUUCAACGAUUAUUGGAUUUUCAAAUGAGUCGUAGUCACUCUUAUAGAUCUAAUCAUAACGUCUAGGUCAGGUUUGAAAUGUUACGCACCAAUAGAUAAUUGUGGACAAUGCCACCAUAAUUGCAGUCAAACUAUCAAGUUAGAAAUAUGUGGUCAAACCAUUAUAAUUGUUGUCAAGCUGCCAUAACAGAAAUGUAGUUAACCCACCAGAUAGUGCAGAUCAUUAAACUAAUAGAUAUUUCUCUUUACCAUAUUAUUCCAACCCCAUGAAUUGUGACAUGGCAUGCAAAUAUAGAAUCUGAAUAAAAAGCAUGUAAGACAUGCAGUUGUACAACAACAAAAAUCAGAAGGCAUGAAAUUCCACACUUUGUAGAACAGAUGUGUCACUAACUCAACAAAAACAAAUUAGUUUCGCCAUAAAGUCAAUGCAUGGUCAUAUAACAUAUUCAUAGAUACAUUAAUUUACAUAAUCACACAACAUAUACUCGUAUACAAACAUCAUGUUAAGUGUGUCAGUAAAAUCUAGAGUUUGAAAUCUCGCAUAGUUAAAACUUAAACGAAAGAUGUCAUUAAUAUACUCUUAACAAUAAGGUUUUUGUCAUUUUCAUUUUUAUUAAUUAAAACUAAAAAAUAUUUACUUUAAAUAAAUUGAAUACUUGAUACACCUACUCAUAUAAAAGUUGCAAGUCAAAUACGCAAACAAGAACUAGAACAAUUAUUUGGAACAAGUGGAGCCUAAUGUAUUUUGACAACUAAAUUUUUUUAAAAGAAAUAUGAUUUUUUGUUAUUUGUGAUGUCCAUUUUAUGGUUCAUGUUGAAGGUCUUAAAAAUGUCACCUUCAAGAUUUGAACUUAAAUGUUCUCUCGAAAUUGUAAUGUUCCUUCUUUACCACUACAUCCAACACUUAUCAUUAGUUUUUAAAAAUAUGUUAAUUAAAUAUAAACUUAUUUGAUUAAUCCUUGUUGGUAAUUUUUAAAAAAUGGAUUUUAAUAAAGUACAAUUAUGUAUAUUUUCAAUCACCUAUUCAUAUCCUUGCACAAUUAAAACUCACAAGCCUAAUAUUUAUUUAUAAAAAGGUGAAAUGACAAUAUUAUCCUCCUAACUACAAGUCUAAUAUUUAUUUUAUAAAAAAAAAAGGUGGGAUGACAAUAAGGUUUUUGUUCUUAUUCAGGUCUAAAUUUUAAAUAAAAUGACUACCUGAUAUAAAUAAUCAAAUAAAAAUUGUUGGCCAAAUAUACAUGAGGACGAUAAUAUCCCUCUAACUAUGGAGCUUUUGUCUUCAAUUUAAUUAAAUUAUCUCCCAAUAUAUUUUCAAAGUACCAUUGGACACUGCUAAUUAAAUUCUUGUUGGCAGUGAGGGCCUAAAAGGCAAUUUGUCCAGUUUAGCCAAGGUCAAUACCAAGAUAGAUGACAAUAAUAUCCUUUUAACUAUAAGGGUUUUGUCGUCUUAACAGGGAGGCUUUUCGAGUUUUAUUUUAUUAAAACUAAAUAAUAUGACUUUGAAUUUGAAGUUAUGUUAUUAAAUAUUUGAAUAAAAUGACUUUGUUAUCAUAUUUAAAUUUAAAAGUCUUACUUGUAAUGCUAGAAGGUUGUGUAUAAAUAUGUGUAUGGAGGUAGAUAUGAAGCAGAAUAGAAGGAGAGUGAACUAAAAAAGGAGUUAAAAAUGGCUUGUCCUCCAACUCAUAAAGUGGUAAAAGGUGAGCUUAAGAAUGGUUCUGAUGACUGCCUUGCGAGCUUGAUGUAUUCGAAUUACCAAGGUGCUCCGGUAACGAUUAAAAAAGAUUCAUUACCCACUCCAUUUGCGCAGAAUAUGAUGGUCGACGGUCUGUACGGAGGCCUGGUGUAUGAUGUUGUUAGGGUUAAGUGGAUUAUU